UACGGAGGGUGCAAGCGUUGUUCGGAUUCACUGGGCGUAAAGCGUGCGUAGGCGGCCAAGUAAGUCGGAUGUGAAAGCCCAGAGCUCAACUCUGGAACUGCAUCCGAUACUGCCUGGCUUGAGUUUGGGAGAGGGAAGCGGAAUUCCUGGUGUAGCGGUGAAAUGCGUAGAUAUCAGGAGGAACACCCGUGGCGAAAGCGGCUUCCUGGCCCAAAACUGACGCUGAGGCACGAGAGCGUGGGGAGCAAAC
rnacentral:rRNA from 1 species